CCNUGCUGCCACCAGUGUCCCCAAGGCACCUCCCAGCCGUAAUUCCACAGCAGCGGCAAAGGGACCCUUGGGUAGCAGGGGGCUCCCCCCCAGCCGUGCGGGCCCACCCCGGCCAUGCCCUCCCCAGGGGCAGAGGGCUGGUGCCCGGGGCAGGUCAGAGCCCCCCCAGGGGGGAACAGCAGGCCAGGCUAAGGUGAGGGGGGGCACAGUUUCCUGUCCCCCCCCGACCCGCCAGCCCCACACCAGGACCACCACCACCCCUGUGCCCUCCGGCUGUUCCCCGGCACCCACUGCCCUCCCCAAGUUGUCCCCUCGGGCUCCAGCAGCGGGUGGGAGGACCCCCACCCCCAGAGGUGCAGGGGCAGCACGGGCAGCCCCCACAACUGGUGCCUUGGGGUGCAAACCAGGACCCCCUCCCACCCGCCUGCGGUCCUCCCGCAAGACGGCGGUGAGCAGCACCCCGAGGUGACACCCCCAAACCACCCCACACCCACCCAGAGGCCCUGGGGGCACCCAGCCCCCCCCUAGGUACCAGCUAAGGUACCUAGGCUGGGGGGGACAGAGCCAAGGCCACCCCAGGGAUGAGUUGAGACAUCCACUGGGUUUUGGAAGGAGGCAGGCAGCACCAGGGGCCCCCAGGGAGCAGCCAAGGCACCCGUUGGGUUAACAGGUCACAGGGCAGAGCUGGAACCCCCAGGGACCAGCUGACGUUGGGGUGGCAGAGCCAGGGGUGUCCCCAGGGAUGAGCCGAGGCACUCAUUGAGUUUUGCUUUAAUUACAAAAGGUCUCAUCAGCAGUAGGAAACCCCCCACAUUCCCCAGCACCCAGGGGCCCCUCAUCCCCCCAACACCCAUCCCUGGGUUCCCCCACUUGAGCCUCUGGGCAGGGGGGGGUCCCAGAUUUCCCUGUAACCCCUACCUGAUCCCCCCCUCCACAUGCUCCCCACCUGGGGAGUUGGCACAUGGGACGGGUUGCACCUUCAUGGGAGUUGGCACCUUGGAGGGCAAGGGGGGUUGGCACAACGGGGGAGUUGGUUAUAAAUUCCUUUUUUUGUAUUUUCAUGUAUUUUUUAAAUAAAACACUCUGCUGGGCAAAGGGGCUGGGGGUGAUCAUGGGGGGACAACAGGGGCACCCUGUGCCAUCAUCCCAAGGUGCCAAUCCCUGCAAGGAUGCAAAGUGCACUGAGGGGAUGAUUGUGGUUCCCUGCUCCUUCCUGAUGUCCUCCCAGUCCUUGUGCAUCCCCAGUCCUGGUGUGUUCUGCCCCCCGCCCCCAC